rnacentral:lncRNA from 1 species
CCCCCCUCUUUUGAUCCAACAACUCAAUAAAUCUGCCGUAUACACCAAUUUAGGCUUAGGCUAGCUAAAUUGAAGAAUAAAGCCCAUACUUGUAUUGUUACAUUGCCAUGCAAAAAUAAGUGUUUGUUGGUUCCAGUGCCUCUUUGCAUAGUAAGCAUCUAGAGGCUAUGUUGAUGCCCCAGCUCCAGUCUCUUUUCUCACCCCACCCAUCUCGUUCGUUCAUCACAACUAACCCUUUUAAACUUGUUCUAUGUCAGCUAACAGUUCGAUGACUCUAUCUUCCUUUCCAUCUCUCCCAAACUUUAAGUAUUUUUAUUUAUUUAUUUUUUCAAUCUCCUCCAUCCUUUGGUGAUUGCCACACACACACACAACAAUUUUUGGUGCCAAGGUUUAAACAAUCUUUUACCUAGUUUUUUUGUUUCUUAUUCAUAUAUAUAGUUUCUUGCUUUUGUUAUCUAUUUGUUGUUUAUCAUGUUUAGGUGAUUGCACUAUUUGGUUGAUGUUAUUGUUCCUUGUAUGUAUGUUCUACACUACUUUUCAAUUAGUUGUCAUGUUUUCUUCACCAUCGUUUUUCCUUUUCAUUACUUCUUUGUUUUGUUGCACUUGAGCCGAGGGUCUUUUGGAAAGAGCCUCUCUACCUCUACGAGAUAGGGGUAACGUUCACGUACACUCUAUCCUUCCCAGAUCCCACUUUGUUCCCACACUGGGUAUGUUGUUGUUUAGUUUGGUGCACCACCUUGGUCCCCUUCGUGAACAUUUCAUCUAGUUCCUAAGCCUUUUGGGACGAUACCAGAAGUACCGGAGGGAUGUAAAUCCUUUAUUGAUAUUGGAAAUAUGACUAGUGUAAUUGGCUCUUCCUUUCUAGCCUUAUCUAAGAAUUUUGACCACCCACCCACCCUAUCUCCUUUAGAUGGGAAAUUGCCAAAGUUGUUUUUCCUGCCAUCUGCUUCAUUGGUUAUAUGAUGGAAGAAAGCAAGAGCCCUUUACCCUCCCACUCCAAUUCUGAGUCUAGACUUAAGUUCAAGCCUAUUGGUUUUUUAAAUCAUCGCCUUCUAACCCAUUUUUGGUUUUGAAAAUGGAGUUUCCGACAUCUUGAUCACCUACUCAAUGACAUUGGUUCGAUCCGAUAGUUAUUUACUGGAACAUAUAAUUUAGUAAAC